GGUAUUUCACAUUUGAUGGUGCGGAAUGUACAAAAUCAACCCCCAUCGUCACCGCCAUAUUGAAGGCUACUGUAACCAGGUUCCUAAAGGUCACAUACGUGUGGGGUUCUGGAUAGGCAAGUGUCAGAGUAAUAGUCUCGGAGAUGGUUUACUGGUUGGAAUUCCAUCUCUCGUAUUGUGAUUGAAGAAGUACCACCUCCUCAAGCUUAAUAUAUUUAAAAAAAGAGUAGUAUUCAUAUCAUACUGUAUAACCAAAUUAUACAAGUAUAUAACUUUUACAAAAGAGACUUAGAGAAAAAGCUGAAAUCAUUAUCAGUUAUAUUUCAAUUCUGUAAUUGUCAGUAUUGUGUUUGAUGUUCAUAAUGUACUACUCAAAUGUAUCACACAAAAAUUGCCUUUGCUAAAACUCAACAUUAAAUAAACUAUUUUCUUCAGCAU